GCGCCUGUAGCUCAGCUGGAUAGAGCGCCGGACUUCGAAUCCGUAGGUCGCAGGUUCGAAUCCUGCCAGGCGCGCCA
rnacentral:tRNA from 1 species